AUCCGGCUGGUGAGUCCCAAGUAGGACGAAACACACGUCCUGGAU
rfam:Schistosoma mansoni strain Puerto Rico chromosome 1, complete genome